rnacentral:rRNA from 1 species
GAUGAACGCUGGCGGCGUGCCUAAUACAUGCAAGUCGAGCGAACAGACGAGGAGCUUGCUCCUCUGACGUUAGCGGCGGACGGGUGAGUAACACGUGGAUAACCUACCUAUAAGACUAGGAUAACUUCGUGCAACCGAAGCUAAUACCGGAUAACAUUUUGAACCUCUUGGUUCAACAUUCAAUGACGGACUUUCUGUCUCUUAUAGAUUGAUCCGCUCCUCAUUAGCUAGUUGGGCAGGUAACGGCUUACCAAGUGGACUGUGCGUAGCCUAACUGAGAGGGUGAUCAGCCACUCGGGAACUGAGACACGGUCCAGACUCCUACGGGAGGCAGCAGUAGGGAAUCUUCCGCAAUGGGCGAAAGCCUGACGGAGCAACGCCGCGUGAGUGAAGAAGAGCUUCGGAUCGUAAAACUCUGUUAUUAGGGAAGAACAAAUGUGUAAGUAACUAUGCACGUCCUGACGGUACCUAAUCAGAAAGCCACGGCUAACUACGUG